rnacentral:lncRNA from 1 species
CAAACCCCGGCUGCCCCCACCCCCAGCCCAGGCUCUGAUCGGGCCCCACACUGGCGUUUUGUGGAGGAGACCCUGAAGCCAGGGGAGAUGUCAGUCAAGCCGCGCAGCACAGGGGCCCAACUUCCACUGGCAGAAUGCAAGCACCCAAGAGGCAGGAGUUUCACUCAAAGGCAGGGUUCACCCCUGUGUUCCCAGAGAUCGGACACAUAGCUGGUGUUCAGUAAACAUUUGCGGGAUGAGUGAAUAAAUGACGGAGCAUUUAUUAAGAGCAUGGCUGUGCUUGGCUCUCCAUACAGAGAUGAGUAAGGCAAGGGGCUUCACAGCUCUUGGCUGUGUGUGUGUCCGUGUGUGUGCAUGAGUGUGCGUGCAUUUGCCUCUGUGUGCCUGUGUAUCUGCAUAUGUGCAUGUCUGUGUUGUCAGCGUGCAUGCAUGUGCAUGUGUCCACGUGUUUCUGUGUGCAUGUGUGUGCCCGUGUGUGCAUGUGUCUGUGUGUAUAUCUGUGUUUGUGCCUGUGUCUCUGUGUGCAUGUCUCCGUGUGCCCACGUGUGUGCAUGUGUAUGUAUAUCUGUGUGUGCAUGUGCCUGUGUCUGUGUGCAUUGUGUCUCUGUGUGUGUUCAUGUGUGUGCAUGUGUCUGUCUGUGCUCUGUGUGUGUGUAUUUGUGUAUGUGUCUAUGUAUGUCUGUGUGUGUUCACAUGUGUGCAUAUCUGUGUGUUCAUCUCUGUUUGUUCAUGUGUGCAUGUGUCUCUAUAUCUGUGUGCAUCUAUGUGUCUGUGUUUGUGUGUCCAUGUGUGCAUUUGUCUGUGUAUCUGUGUAUGAGUGUCUGUGUGUCUGUGUGUGCAUGUCUGUGUUUGUGUGUUCAUAUGUGCAUGUUUCUAUGUAUAUGUCUCUAUGUUCAUGUCAGUUCAUGUCUGUGCAUGUUCACAUGUAUGCAUGUUUCUCUCCAUGUGUCUCUGUGUGUGCAUGUUUCUGUGUAUGUAUGUGUCUGUUCAUGUGUGUGUUGUCUGUGCAUGUUCACAUGUGUGCAUGUCUGUGUGUUCAUAUCUGCGUUUGUUCAUGUGUUCAUGUGUCUGUGUGUGUAUGUAUAUCUGUGUGUAUGUGUCUGUGUGUGUGUGUCUGUGUAUGCACAUGUGUGUAGGGGGAUCUGGGGGGUUCUGGCUCUGAGCUUAGUACUCUAUUCUUCAAAUAUCCAUUUCUUGGCAUCGGGCAUGACAGCCUAUCCAGCUUGGAGGUUUUCUGCCCCUUGGCUGAGGCUGGGCGAGCCGAACACCCAUUUCUCCUUUCUUUGUUGAGCCAUUCUUUUCUUCCUCAGGAUGUUUAUCCCAGGAAAUCCAGAGGAUCAGAACCAGGCAGGACCCGGCACUGGGACGGAGGCAGCUGUCUGCGGGGCGUUUACAGUAGAUAUGUAUCACCUGUUCUGAGACGGAGCCGGGGAGGCUGUUUUUAAUCAUCCGGGAGGUUGUAAAAUGUUUCCCGACGUUACGAGGACAGCUGCUGGAAUAAUGAUGCAGGUAGCUGGCACACACGCAGUGCAAAGGUUUCACCAGGCAUGGUCUUCUACGCCUAUCACCUGGUCAAUACGAGCAGCAGCCACGUUAAGGUGUAAUACACACUGGCGUCAUCUAACAUUCCAUGUGAGGAAACUGAGGCACACAAAGGGCAACUGGCUUGCUCAAGGUCGCGUGAAUGGCAAAGUGUGGAUCUGGGAUUCAAGCCCAGACAAUUGGGCUCCAGAAUUGACUUUAUUAGUCAUGAUCACUCCAGAGAAAACAUCAAGCACUUUUCAUUACAUGUUUAAUGAAAAUGAUGUUAAAGUGGUUUUGUAGGAGAAAACAUUUCAUUCAUGUAAAUACAUUUUACUGCAUUCUAAAAUCUAGCAGGAAAAGAUGUGGCCUAACUACCGUCAAGAUCUGGGUACAUUUCAUUGGAAAUACAAGCACAUUGGACAUGGGAAAAUACUGGGGAACUUUACACGGAAGAGAAUGCAUCUGAUAGUCUGGCGAACUAGCAUUUGCUGGAUUUUUAGGACAUACGGGAGGCCGGGUGCGGUGACCUCCCCCAGCAAUCCCAGCAAUCGGGGAGGCUGAGGCCGGUGGAUUGCUCGAGCCCAGGAGUCCAAGACUAGCCCGGGCAACAUGGUAAAACCUCACCUCUAUGAAAAAAAUACAAAAAAUUAGCCGGGCGUGGUGGUGCACAGCUGUAGUCUCAGCUACGUGGGAGGUUGAGGUGGGAGAAUCACCUGAGCCUGGGGAAGUCAAGGCUGCAGUGAGCCGAGAUUGCACCACUGCACUCCAGCCUGGGUAACAGAGUGAGACCCUGUCUCAACAAACAAAACACAAAAAUAUAUAUAUGCUGAAUGCUCAGUGAGCUGUAACAUGUGAGGCAGCCCCCAGGGGUGCAGAGAUGAACUGCUAAGAAGGCGUAUGUUCCCACGGGGUGCAGAGAUGAACCCCUGUCUGAGAAGGCGCAUGUACCCACGGGGUGCAGAGAUGAACCCCUGAGAAGGCGCAUGUACCCACGGGGUGCAGAGAUGAACCCCUGUCUGAGAAGGUGCAUGUACCCAUAGGGUGCAGAGAUGAACCCCUGUCUGAGAAGGCGCAUGUACCCAAGGGGUGCAGAGAUGAACCCCUGUCUGAGAAGGCGCAUGUACCCACGGGGUGCAGAGAUGAACCCCUGUCUGAGAAGGCGCAUGUACCCACGGGGGUGCAGAGAUGAACCUCUGAGAAGGCGCAUGUACCCACAGGGUGCAGAGAUGAACCCCUGUCUGAGAAGGAGCAUGUACCCACGGGGUGCAGAGAUGAACCUGUCUGAGAAGGCGCACACACCCACAGCUGCCCCUCAUCUUAGCACCACAGUGCCAGCCCCACCCUGUCUUUGAUAAGCCCUGGCCUUCCAGGGCCUCCCUCAGAGAACCAGCCCCUGCCGAGUGCCUGAACGUAGCUGCGGUCUGGGGUGCCGACCCUUGGCACUGGGAGAAACCGUCACCAGUAGCAUCACCCCCCAGUGAGCCAAGAUCGCACCACAGCAGCAUCACCGGGGAGGGAGUCACGUGGUUGUCACUGCAGAACUCUGGAGGGGCAGGCUCUCGCGUGGGUGGGGGCCAUGGAGGAUGCAGCGUGGGAUUUAAAAUGAGCCCGAUGAAGGGAAAUGCUGGUUCUUCAAUGUCCAUGAGCUCAAGCCCUGUGGGAAGUGUAGCCUCGAUUAUUUUGCACAGAUCUGAACAGCAUUCACCCCCAGUUGGAUAUGGCCCUUUUCUCGAAGCACAGAUUGGAACUCAAGGUCUCUGAAGUGCUUUCUGGCCGCAUCAUGGAGAGAAAGGCAUUUUCUCACUCAGGCAUCACCCCGGGAACGUGGCGUGCCAUGUUUUAGCAUCUAAGUGUGUCCCCUGAGGAGGCAGGGUUAUGCCGUAAUCACAAGCAACCCCCAAAUCUCAACGGCAUUAACGACACAGGGUAAUUUAUCAUGGGAUUGCGUGUCCACCUGGGUCCCCGCGGAGCUCUGUUGACUGGAGUCGCUCGGAGCCCCCGGCGCGAAUGCUGGAUGGCCGAGCGGGGAGGAGCGCUCAGGGGCUUCACGCUGUCAACACCCCACUCCGAAGUGACUCCCGCGGCUUCCAGCAGUCACCUGCUGGACAGAGACUGUCACACGGGCCCCCGCACACAGUGGGGUGGGAAGGGAGAUCCUACCGCAUACCUGGAAGACGGGAGAACAGGGGUGUUUCGGUGAGUAGUGCUCUCUCUCAGUCCGCACAGCAGCCUUCCAGCAAAUCGGGAUGUUAUGCCAAACCCGCCCCACGCCCCCAAAUGCCAGGCUCCCCGGGGUAGCAACGAAUGACACGUUGUCCAAUCAGACUUCAGUGCAACCAUGUCACAGAAGACAUGACUAAAGCAAAACAGGACUGGGUGGUGCUCAUUUUGGUUUUGACAAGGUCGGGCCUGGGUCUCUGCUUUCCUCUCCUGGGCCAAGAUCCUCUGGGCGUGGAGUUCAGGAACGAGGGUGGGACCUUCCCCAGGAGACCCAGGUAUGGGCAGCGGUUGCUGGGACCAAGUCCUCACUGAGAGUGACUUCGACAAACAUCCAUUGGCAGCUCCAGCUUAGGCCCAGGGGACAAAGUGGGGGUCACUGAUACCCCGGAUUUUUUUUUUUAAUGACUGAAUCAUGAUUUGAACACUGGUCUGUUGGAUUUCAAGAUCUGUGAUUUUCUCACUGAACAUGCUAACUCCUGGGACAGCAGAGUUCCUUAGAUUGGACCUAAUAACACACUGAUCCCCUCCCCUCCUGCUUUUUCUGUAUUUUUAAAAAAUUAUUUUGUUUUUUAUUCACAAAUAUUGUAUAUGUUAUAUGGGG